GGACACCAGAAGAUCUAACUAAGUCAGAAUGUCUCAGUUACAGUCCAGAUUUCUAUUUAUUACCUACCUCACCGAGAAAGACAAGGCUCCCUUACUCUUAUCCUGAGAACUCCCUGGCUUGAAGGAGCACUCUUUCUUCUGGAGAGCCCUGAAGAAAUAGCUUAUACAAAAAGUCUAUCUGUGCACAAGGGGAAAAAAGCCAGCACUAAGGAUAAGGUAUAGAAGGUGCAGUGGGCAUACAGUGGUACUGCCAGUGUUCUAUUGAAUUACAGAGGUUGAACAAUCAAAAAGGAAAUUAUGAUCACCAAAAUAUAACAUAGCAACAGCCUCUUUGGUGGAUCAUUUGCCAAGCAUGAAGGAGGCAAAAAAGCCAUCACUGGAAGGAUGUGAUAUCGGAAUUCGUGUUGGUAGCAAGAGCUCACACCUCAACAGGAACACAGCCUGGUCUAAAAGGCUGAGCAGUUUGCAGAUUGA